rnacentral:rRNA from 1 species
GAUGAACGCUGGCGGCGUGCCUAAUACAUGCAAGUCGAGCGAAUGGAUUAAGAGCUUGCUCUUAUGAAGUUAGCGGCGGACGGGUGAGUAACACGUGGGUAACCUGCCCAUAAGACUGGGAUAACUCCGGGAAACCGGGGCUAAUACCGGAUAACAUUUUGAACCGCAUGGUUCGAAAUUGAAAGGCGGCUUCGGCUGUCACUUAUGGAUGGACCCGCGUCGCAUUAGCUAGUUGGUGAGGUAACGGCUCACCAAGGCAACGAUGCGUAGCCGACCUGGGAGGGUGAUCGGCCACACUGGGACUGGAACACGGCCCAGACUCCUACGGGAGGCAGCAGUAGGGAAUCUUCCGCAAUGGACGAGAGUCUGACGGAGCAACGCCGCGUGAGUGAUGAAGGCUUUCGGGUCGUAAAACUCUGUUGUUAGGGAAGAACAAGUGCUAGUUGAAUAAGCUGGCACCUUGACGGUACCUAACCAGAAAGCCACGGCUAACUACGUGCCAGCAGCCGCAGUAA